rnacentral:sRNA from 1 species
AAACAGUUGUUUAGGCGGCAUUUGCAAUUUGCAUUUUUGCGAGAGUCCAGCCCAGUUGUGGCAUGCAAAUCGUUUGCAAAUCAGUUGUGGCUGAGUUGGCAACUGAACAAUAUUAUUACUCUUUGUUUGUCGAACGGGGACAAUUGCCACAUGCCUCAUGCCUCACUUGGCAGUUGAAAAUGUUGUUCAGCAUUAACCAGCAUUUGUUGGUGGACAAAGAAGGCACAAGUUCGAGUAGAUACAGAAAAUAUAGACGUAUGUACUAUAAGGAUGUCAAUGCUCCAAUUGAAGAUAUUACUGCCUAGGCCCUAGUCUCUAGGGCUCUCUCUAGGCCCUAACAAUGAAUUGACUGCUGGUUUUCUAUGAAAUUUCGCUUCCCAAGACGGAAAGACGGACAUAUAUUUCGAAUAUUACCCAAUGCCGGCCCGUGGAUCAAAUAGUACCGUUCGAUUAUAGAUUAUACCUUAUUUCGAAGCAAACCAAAAAAUUAUGAAACGUUGAUGGGUUCGUGGAUACAAAAUUUGAGCGACACUGUCUUCUAGGACAGAUUUUGUUUGAUUGGGAAGUUUCUUAAAAAGAAAUAUGCGUAUAUGUAUGUAAAAUGUACAUACAUACACACAUUCCUAUGUACCUAUACUGUAGUCUAUAAUUGGCUUGUAUGACUUUGAUGUACAGAUGUUUUUACAUAUGUACAUAGUAUAUAUUUAUUGGAUUAGCACUUGACAUGUGGUCUUAUACGAGUAUGUACAUAUGUCGAGUGCCUAAAUUGAGGGAAUUGACGACUCAUUCGAUUUCGCCGAUCCCAGCUAAUGAAUCUACUCUCAGUUCGUCUUCCAAUUAUUCUCCCUCUUUCAUUUCGAUCAAUUUAAGUGGUCGUACUCGCAGCCUGAGUCACAGAUUCAAUCAAAGUAGAGCUGUUUCCGUUGAGACUGAGUACAGUGUUCCCCAGCUACAAUAUAAGUACUAGAAAGUAUUGGAUCGCUAAAAUAGCACCGGCUCUUAGCAGAAAGAAACUCCAGUAGGUCAAAACUAAACUAAAUGCAUAUACAUAUAUAAUUAGUAAAUGCCAACAAUGGAAUACUAGAAUACAAUUGAGAAAAUAUGUAUACAAGUGACCAUAAAUACAGUGGCCCCACAAUACAGUGGAUUCCAAAACUAGCCUUACAUAUUUGUGCAGCCUGCUUAAAGUCAUUCGUUAUAGAUUUCAUAUUCUAUAUUACAAUCUUCUUGCAAAGGAUGUACGGGGUUAUAUUAUCUUGGAAAGUAUUUAGCGAGAGUUCUUUUAUUAUUUAUUUUCCUAUAUGAACGUAACUAAAGGUUAGGGCUACAAUAAACUAUACAUGCACACAAAUUUAAAGUACCAUGUGUUUAAAGCUUCCACCAAUCAGGGGAUAUCAUUUGUAAAAAAAUUACUUUUCAUUUUGCCAAACUAGUGCUGUAUGUCGUGACUAAGGAGCGGUAAAUGAUGCGCAAUAAAUUUAACAAUGACUUCUAAAAAAUAAUAAAAAUAAACGGAAUGGUGUGCACACACAUAUGCAAAUUAUUUUCUGUUUUUUCCACGAACAAAGCGUCGGAGUUGGGGCCAAAGUUAUAUAAAUCCGGUGACACACGGCUGGAAGAACCAUACCAUACCA